rnacentral:rRNA from 1 species
GACGAACGCUGGCGGCGUGCUUAACACAUGCAAGUCGAGCGGUAAGGCCCUUUCGGGGGUACACGAGCGGCGAACGGGUGAGUAACACGUGGGUGACCUGCCCUCAGCUCUGGGAUAAGCCCGGGAAACUGGGUCUAAUACCGGAUAUGACUCCAUGACGCAUGUUGUGGGGUGGAAAGCCUUGUGCGGCUGAGGAUGGGCCCGCGGCCUAUCAGCUUGUUGGUGGGGUGAUGGCCUACCAAGGCGACGACGGGGUAGCCGGCCUCGAGAGGGCGGACCGGCCGACACUGGGACGUGAGACACGGCCC